UUACUCCUACGGGAGGCAGCAGUAGGGAAUCUUCCACAAUGGACGCAAGUCUGAUGGAGCAACGCCGCGUGAGUGAAGAAGGUUUUCGGAUCGUAAAGCUCUGUUGUUGGUGAAGAAGGAUAGAGGCAGUAACUGGUCUUUAUUUGACGGUAAUCAACCAGAAAGUCACGGCUAACUACGUGCCAGCGCCGCGGUAAUAGA
rnacentral:rRNA from 1 species